rnacentral:rRNA from 1 species
GUGAGGAAUAUUGGUCAAUGGACGGAGGUCUGAACCAGCCAAGUCGCGUGAGGGACGACGGCCCUACGGGUUGUAAACCUCUUUUGCGGGGGAGUAAAGUGAGCCACGUGUGGCUCAUUGCGAGUACCCCGAGAAAAAGCAUCGGCUAAUUCCGUGCCAGCAGCCGCGGUAAUACGGAAGAUGCGAGCGUUAUCCGGAUUUAUUGGGUUUAAAGGGUGCGCAGGCGGCAUGUCAAGUCAGCGGUCAAAGUUCCGGGCUCAACCCGGUGAUGCCGUUGAAACUGGCGCGCUUGAGUUCGUGGGAGGAAGGCGGAAUGCGCGGUGUAGCGGUGAAAUGCAUAGAUAUCACGCAGAACCCCGAUUGCGAAGGCAGCCUUCCAUCACGCCACUGACGCUGAGGCACGAAAGCGUGGGUAUCGAACAGGAUUAGAUACCCCGGUAGUCC